UACGGAGGGGGCUAGCGUUGUUCGGAAUUACUGGGCGUAAAGCGCGCGUAGGCGGACCUGCAAGUCGGGGGGUGAAAGCCCGAGGCUCAACCUCGGAACUGCCUUCGAUACUGCGGGUCUCGAGUCCGGGAGAGGUGAGUGGAAUUCCUAGUGUAGAGGUGAAAUUCGUAGAUAUUAGGAAGAACACCAGUGGCGAAGGCGGCUCACUGGCCCGGUACUGACGCUGAGGCGGCGAAAAGCGUGGG
rnacentral:rRNA from 1 species